GGGUUUGAUCAUGGCUCAGAUUGAACGCUGGCGGGAUGCUUUACACAUGCAAGUCGAACGGCAGCACGGACUUCGGUCUGGUGUGGCGAGUGGCGAACGGGUGAGUGGUCGUAUCGGAACGUGCUCUGGUAGCGGGGGUACUACGCGAAAGCGUAGCUAAAACCGCAUACGCCCUUCGGGGGAAAGCGGGGGACCUUCGGGCCUCGCACUAGAGCGGCCGAUAUCGGAUUAGCUAGUUGGUGGGGCAACGGCUCACCAAGGCGACGAUCCGUGUAGCUGGUCGGAGAGGACGACCAGCCACACUGGGACUGAGACACGGCCCAGACUCCUACGGGAGGCAGCAGUGGGGAAUUUGGAUACGGGGGAAACCCUGAUCCAGCCAUCCCGCGUGUGCGAUGAAGGCCUUUCGGGUUGUAAAGCACUUUUGGCAGGAAAGAAACGGCACGGGAUAAUACCCCGUGCAACUGAUUUACACUCUGCAGAAUAAGCACCGGCUAACUACGUGCCAGCAGCCGCGGUAAUACGUAGGUAAGCGUUAAUCGGAAUUACUGGGCGUAAAGCGUGCGCAGGCGGUUCGGAAAGAAAGAUGUGAAAUCCCAGAGCUUAACUUUGAACUGCAUUUUUAACUACCGAGCUAGAGUGUAGUCAGAGGGAGGUGGAAUUCGCGUGUAGCAGUGAAAUGCGUAGAUAUGCGAGAACACCGAUGGCGAAGGCAGCCUCCUGGGAUAACACUUAUCGCUCAUGCACGAAAGCGUGGAGCAAACAGGAUUAGAUACCCUGGUAGUCCACGCCCUAAACGAUGUCAACUAGCUUUCGUUGGGGCCUUCGGGCCUUGGUAGCGCAGUCAUCGCGCAGGAAGUUGACCGCCUGGGGAGUACGGUCGCGUGAUUAAAACUGAAUUGACGGGGACCCGCACAAGCGGUGGAUGAUGUGGAUUAAUUCGAUGCAACGCGAAAAACCUUACCUACCCUUGACAUGUCUGGAAUCCCGAAGAGAUUUGGGAGUGCUCGCAAGAGAACCGGAACACAAAGGUAUGGCUGUCGUCAGCUUCAAACGAGAUGCUGGUUAAGUCCCAGAAUGAGCGCAACCCUUGUCAUUAGUUGCUACGAAAGGGCACUGAUGAGAUCGUUGCGACAAACCGGAGGCAGCGAUGACGUCAAGUCCUCAUGGCCUUUGCGGUAGGGCUUCACACGUCAUACAAUGGUCGGGACAGAGGGUCGCCAACUCAUGAGGGGAGCCAAUCCCAGAAACCCGAUCGUAGUCCGGAUCGCAGUCUGCAACUCGACUGCGUGAAGCCUUGGAAUCGCUUAGGGACCGCAGCGAUCAGCAUGUCGCGGUGAAUACGUCUCGGGUCUUGUACACACCGCCCGUCACACCAUGGGAGUGGGUUUUACCAGAAGUAGUUAGCCUAACCGUAAGGAGGGAUUACCAAUGGUAGGAUUCAUGAUCGGGGUGAAGCCCGUGUACAAGGGUAG
rnacentral:rRNA from 1 species